rnacentral:rRNA from 1 species
UUGUCCCGGUUUAAGCAUGUAGGCGGAGGUUCCAGGUAAAUCCGGUACCUUUUAACGCUGAGGUGUGAUGACGAGGCACUACGGUGCUGAAGUAACAAAUGCCCUGCUUCCAGGAAAAGCCUCUAAGCAUCAGGUAACAUCAAAUCGUACCCCAAACCGACACAGGUGGUCAGGUAGAGAAUACCAAGGCGCUUGAGAGAACUCGGGUGAAGGAACUAGGCAAAAUGGUGCCGUAACUUCGGGAGAAGGCACGCUGAUAUGUAGGUGAAGCCCCUGCGGGUGGAGCUGAAAUCAGUCGAAGAUACCAGCUGGCUGCAACUGUUUAUUAAAAACACAGCACUGUGCAAACACGAAAGUGGACGUAUACGGUGUGACGCCUGCCCGGUGCCGGAAGGUUAAUUGAUGGGGUUAGCGGUAACGCGAAGCUCUUGAUCGAAGCCCCGGUAAACGGCGGCCGUAACUAUAACGGUCCUAAGGUAGCGAAAUUCCUUGUCGGGUAAGUUCCGACCUGCACGAAUGGCGUAAUGAUGGCCAGGCUGUCUCCACCCGAGACUCAGUGAAAUUGAACUCGCUGUGAAGAUGCAGUGUACCCGCGGCAAGACGGAAAGACCCCGUGAACCUUUACUAUAGCUUGACACUGAACACUGGUCCUUGAUGUGUAGGAUAGGUGGGAGGCUUUGAAGCGUGGACGCCAGUCUGCGUGGAGCCGACCUUGAAAUACCACCCUUUAAUGGCUGGUGUUCUAACGUAGACCCGUGAUCCGGGUUGCGGACAGUGUCUGGUGGGUAGUUUGACUGGGGCGGUCUCCUCCCAAAGAGUAACGGAGGAGCACGAAGGUUAGCUAAUCCUGGUCGGACAUCAGGAGGUUAGUGCAAUGGCAUAAGCUAGCUUGACUGCGAGAGUGACGGCUCGAGCAGGUGCGAAAGCAGGUCAUAGUGAUCCGGUGGUUCUGAAUGGAAGGGCCAUCGCUCAACGGAUAAAAGGUACUCCGGGGAUAACAGGCUGAUACCGCCCAAGAGUUCAUAUCGACGGCGGUGUUUGGCACCUCGAUGUCGGCUCAUCACAUCCUGGGGCUGAAGUAGGUCCCAAGGGUAUGGCUGUUCGCCAUUUAAAGUGGUACGCGAGCUGGGUUUAGAACGUCGUGAGACAGUUCGGUCCCUAUCUGCCGUGGGCGCUGGAGAAUUGAGGGGGGCUGCUCCUAGUACGAGAGGACCGGAGUGGACGCAUCACUGGUGUUCGGGUUGUCAUGCCAAUGGCACUGCCCGGUAGCUAAAUGCGGAAGAGAUAAGUGCUGAAAGCAUCUAAGCACGAAACUUGCCCCGAGAUGAGUUCUCCCUGACCCUUUAAGGGUCCUGAAGGAACGUUGAAGACGACGACGUUGAUAGGUCGGGUGUGUAAGCGCAGCGAUGCGUUGAGCUAACCGAUACUAAUGAACCGUGAGGCUUAACCUUACAACGCCGAAG